GCCCUUGAAAAUCCAAGGGAAAGAACCAGUUUCAUGCCUGGUCAUACUCAUAACCACACCAGGUCUCCAUGGUGAACAGCCUCUAGUUGAUAGAACAAUGUAGAUAAGGGAAGUCAGCAAAAUAGAUCCGUAGCUUUGGGAAGAGGAUUGGCUCUAAGGGUUGGGUAGUCUGGGCUAUGUUUAGAAGCCGCAGUACUGCCAGUGGACUAUGACUGUCACAAGAUGAUUGCAGACUGCAGGUGCACCUGCAUCUGGAAGAGUGUAGUUUCCUCCUCACAGGGGGGGGAGUACAGGGCUAUGCUGAACAACCAACUUAGAACUGGCAUGGACAAGGGGAAUCUGACUGUCUAAUUAAAACAUAGCAUUGCAAUGGCCAGAAAGUGGUGUUGAUGCAAUGUGAUUUCUGCCCAGUGCUCUGAAUGUCAAAGUGAAGAAAUUCUACCAAGCAUGGGUAAAUAGUGGGAGUAACUAUGACUCUCUUAAGAUAGCCAAAUGCCUCGUCAUCUAAUUAGUGAUGUGCAUGAAUGGAUUUACAAGAUUCCCACUGUCCCUAUCUACUAUCUAGCAAAACCACAGCCAAGGGAACAGGCUUUGCAGAAUCAGCAGGGAAAGAAGACCCUGUUGAGCUUGACUCUAGUUUGACAUUGUGAAAAGACAUAGAGGGUGUAGAAUAAGUGGGAGACUUUGGUCAACAGUGAAAUACCACUACCUUUAUCAUCUUUUUACUCAUUUAAUGAGGUAGAGGGGGGCUUCAUUGCCUAACUUCUAGCAUUAAGGUUCUUCCAACAAACUGAUCUAGGUUAAAGACAUUGUCAGGUGGGGAGUUUGGCUGGGGUGGCACAUCUGUUAGAAGAUAACACAGGUGUCCUAAGGGGGACUCAUUCAGAACAGAAAUCUCAAGUAGAACAAAAAGGUAAAAGUCCCCUUGAUUUUGAUUUUCAGUGUGAAUACAAACCAUCAAAGUGUGGCCUAUCAAUCCUUUAGUCCCUUGAAAUUUAAGGCUAGAGGUGUCAGAAAAGUUACCACAGGGAUAACUGGCUUGUGGCAGCCAAGCAUUCAUAGUGAUGUUGCUCUUUGGUCCUUUGAUGUUGGCUCUUCCUAUCAUACUGAGGCAGAAUUCAGUAAGCGUUGGAUUGUUCACCCACUAAUAGGGAACGUGAGCUGGGUUUAGACCAUUGUGAGACAGGUUAGUUUUACCCUACUGAUGAAUUAUUGUUGCAAUAGUAGUUCAACUUAGUACAAGAGGAACCAUUGAUUCAGAUAAUUGGUAUUUGCCCUUAGCUGACAAGCCAAUGGGGCAAAGCUACCAUCUGUUGGAUUAUGGCUGAAUGCCUCUAAGUCAGAAUCUGUGCUAGAAAGCGACAAUGCUUACCUUCUCCAUAUUUAGAUGAAUACAAAUAGAGUACUAUUGUAGUGCUCCAGUAUCCAAGCAGGGGGACAUUAGCAAAGUGGUGGAAGUGCUGCUUGGUGAGUUCCUGAAUUGUAAUUUCAAAUACUGGAGAGGAUAAAUCCUUUGCAGAUUACUUAAAUAAGGAAUGGGGUAUUGUAAGCAGUAGAGUAGCCUUGUUGCUACAAUCUGCUGAGAUUAAGCCUUUUGUUCUUUAUACAGAACAAAUUCU
rnacentral:rRNA from 1 species